UACGAAGGGGGCGAGCGUUGUUCGGAAUCACUGGGCGUAAAGGGCGCGUAGGCGGCCCUCUUAGUCGCGUGUGAAAGCCCCGGGCUCAACCUGGGAACGGCGCGCGAAACGGGAGGGCUGGAGUUCGGGAGAGGAGAGUGGAAUUCCCAGUGUAGAGGUGAAAUUCGUAGAUAUUCGGAAGAACACCAGUGGCGAAGGCGGCUCACUGGACUGGUAUUGACGCUGAGGUGGCGAAAGCGUGGGGAGCAAACAGG
rnacentral:rRNA from 1 species